rnacentral:rRNA from 1 species
CAGCAGCCGCGGGAAUACGUAGGUGGCGAGCGUUGUCCGGAAUCAUUGGGCGUAAAGGGAGCGCAGGCGGGCAUGUAAGUCUUUCUUAAAAGUUCGGGGCUCAACCCCGUGAUGGGAAAGAAACUACAUGUCUUGAGUACAGGAGAGGAAAGCGGAAUUCCCAGUGUAGCGGUGAAAUGCGUAGAUAUUGGGAGGAACACCAGUGGCGGAGGCGGCUUUCUGGACUGCAACUGACGCUGAGGCUCGAAAGCCAGGGGAGCGAACGGGAUUAGAUACCCGCGUAGUCCCUGUCUCUUAUACC